rnacentral:rRNA from 1 species
CCUACGGGAGGCAGCAGUGGGGAAUAUUGGACAAUGGGCGAAAGCCUGAUCCAGCCAUGCCGCGUGUGUGAAGAAGGCCUUCGGGUUGUAAAGCACUUUCAGUGGGGAAGAAAGCCUUGGGGCUAAUACCCUCGAGGAAGGACAUCACCCACAGAAGAAGCACCGGCUAACUCCGUGCCAGCAGCCGCGGUAAUACGGAGGGUGCGAGCGUUAAUCGGAAUUACUGGGCGUAAAGCGCGCGUAGGCGGUCUGAUAAGCCGGUUGUGAAAGCCCCGGGCUCAACCUGGGAACGGCAUCCGGAACUGUCAGGCUAGAGUGCAGGCGAGGAAGGUAGAAUUCCCGGUGUAGCGGUGAAAUGCGUAGAGAUCGGGAGGAAUACCAGUGGCGAAGGCGGCCUUCUGGACUGACACUGACGCUGAGGUGCGAAAGCGUGGGUAGCAAACAGGAUUAGAUACCCCAGUAGUC